ACUAAUGUUGAAAAAUUAGCGGAUGACUUGUGGCUAGGGGUGAAAGGCCAAUCAAACCUGGAGAUAGCUGGUUCUCCCCGAAAGCUAUUUAGGUAGCGCCUCGGACGAAUACUACUGGGGGUAGAGCACUGUUAAGGCUAGGGGGUCAUCCCGACUUACCAACCCUUUGCAAACUCCGAAUACCAGUAAGUACUAUCCGGGAGACACACGGCGGGUGCUAACGUCCGUCGUGGAGAGGGAAACAACCCAGACCGCCAGCUAAGGUCCCAAAUUACUACUAAGUGGGAAACGAUGUGGGAAGGCUCAGACAGCCAGGAUGUUGGCUUAGAAGCAGCCAUCAUUUAAAGAAAGCGUAAUAGCUCACUGGUCGAGUCGGCCUGCGCGGAAGAUGUAACGGGGCUAAGUAGUAAACCGAAGCUGCGGCAAUGUGCUUUUGCACAUUGGGUAGGGGAGCGUUCUGUAAGCGGUUGAAGGUGUGUGGUAACGCAUGCUGAUACUUUUGUAUAUUGGGUAGGGGAGCGUUCUGUAAGCGGUUGAAGGUGUGUGGUAACGCAUGCUGGACGUAUCAGAAGUGCGAAUGCUGACAUGAGUAACGAUAAAGGGGGUGAAAAACCUCCUCGCCGGAAGACCAAGGGUUCCUGUCCAACGUUAAUCGGGGCAGGGUAAGUCGACCCCUAAGGCGAGGCCGAAAGGCGUAGUCGAUGGGAAACGGGUUAAUAUUCCCGUACUUCUUACAAUUGCGAUGGGGGGACGGAGAAGGCUAGGUGGGCCUGGCGACGGUUGUCCAGGUUCAAGUGCGUAGGCUUGAGAGUUAGGUAAAUCCGGCUCUCUUUAAGGCUGAGACACGACGUCGAGCACCUACGGGUGUGAAGUCAUUGAUGCCAUGCUUCCAGGAAAAGCCUCUAAGCUUCAGAUUGUAAGGAAUCGUACCCCAAACCGACACAGGUGGUCGGGUAGAGAAUACCAAGGCGCUUGAGAGAACUCGGGUGAAGGAACUAGGCAAAAUGGUACCGUAACUUCGGGAGAAGGUACGCUCUCGACGGUGAAGUCCCUCGCGGAUGGAGCUAUUGAGAGUCGCAGAUACCAGGUGGCUGCAACUGUUUAUUAAAAACACAGCACUGUGCAAAAUCGUAAGAUGACGUAUACGGUGUGACGCCUGCCCGGUGCCGGAAGGUUAAUUGAUGGGGUUAGACUUCGGUCGAAGCUCUUGAUCGAAGCCCCGGUAAACGGCGGCCGUAACUAUAACGGUCCUAAGGUAGCGAAAUUCCUUGUCGGGUAAGUUCCGACCUGCACGAAUGGCGUAAUGAUGGCCACGCUGUCUCCACCCGAGACUCAGUGAAAUUGAAAUCGCUGUGAAGAUGCAGUGUACCCGCGGCUAGACGGAAAGACCCCGUGAACCUUUACUACAGCUUGGCACUGAACAUUGACCCUACAUGUGUAGG
rnacentral:rRNA from 1 species